GCCAUUCCUGUGAUUGCUAACGAUAUCAGGCUGUGAAAGCACCUUAAUGGUCUGACUGGUCACUCUGCUGGCAGAGGGCUGUGACACAGGAGAGCCCAUCCACCUGUACCCGCAAUCUUGUCCUUUUGGUCACGACCCAAAGCUCAUGAAUGGGUGAGAGUGGGAACGUAGAUCAACCAGUACAUUGACACAAACCGGGGUGCACCCACUGGGAGAAAAUGCAACCUCCUCACACAGCUGCCCAAGGGGCGAUUCGAAUCAGAUCUUCCCAAUUUUGGUUGUGUCCUUGCUGAUCCGUACAAAGCACUCCCACCACUGCUGGAUUCUUCAUGCUGCACACAAGGCAGGAAAAACGGCGUUCAAUGUGUAAAGACGAACGAAGACAAAGCACAGACUGACAAUGACUUACGUGUCAUCAAGGUGUUGCUCUAAGGUCGACUCCAUUCGAAAUCAACUGAAAACGCCAAAUAGUUCAGCUUAUUUUUGGAAGCUAUGCUGUUCUCGAAGAGAUUUCCGGCUUUAGUCAGCUGCCUGUGACGUAACUACGAGAACACUCGAGGGUCAAAACACACCAAACUGGAGUUUUUUUUAUUGCGACAGUAUUUUUAUUUCACAGCUAUUAAAUGUGUGCAUUCUUGAAUGUCAUUUAGUGCAUCAAUCGUGCAUUUAUUAGUUUUUUCAUUUUUAAACAUGCAGCGUUCAAAUUCGUUUUGCUACUUCUGUAUCGACACCUGUCAAUUAUCAAUUAUUUAUAAUCAUUGUGCAAAACAUCCAAAUAAUACGAUAGCUGGAGCAUGGAAGCCCUUUUCGCCACUGGAUAAAGUUAUCCUAUUGGUAAGUCAUAAUCAUAUGAUAAAAAAAUCG